rnacentral:rRNA from 1 species
GCUCAAAGGUUCUCUCAGUACGGUCGGAAAUCGUACGUAGAGUGUAAAGGCAAAAGAGAGCUUGAUUGCAAGACAUACAGGUCGAGCAAGGAUGAAAAUCGGACUUAGUGAUCCGGUGGUUCUGCGUGGAAGGGCCAUCGCUCAACGGAUAAAAGCUACCCUGGGGAUAACAGGCUUAUCUCCCCCAAGAGUCCACAUCGACGGGGAGGUUUGGCACCUCGAUGUCGGCUCAUCACAUCCUGGGGCUGUAGUAGGUCCCAAGGGUUGGGCUGUUCGCCCAUUAAAGUGGUACGCGAGCUGGGUUCAGAACGUCGUGAGACAGUUCGGUCCCUAUCCGUCGCAGGCGUAGGAAAUUUGAGAAGACCUGUCCUUAGUACGAGAGGACCGGGAUGGACGUACCUCUGGUGUACCAGUUGUCCUGCCAAGGGCAUGGCUGGGUAGCUAUGUACGGAAUGGAUAAGCGCUGAAAGCAUCUAAGCGCGAAGCCAACUUCAAGAUAAGAUUUCCCACCGCAAGGGUAAGACCCCAGAAAGACUAUCUGGUUGAUAGGUCGAAGGUGUAAGUGCAGCAAUGUAUUUAGCUUAUCGAUACUAAUAGGUCGAGGACUUGACCAA